rnacentral:rRNA from 1 species
UGGAUACCUGCCCUCAGCUCCUGGGAUAGCAAGCGGGAAACUGCUGGUAAUACCGGAUAAUAUCCCCGGAUCAAAGGUGUGAUUCCGGCUGGGUGAUGGGUCCGCGUCCUAUUAGGUUGUUGGUGGGGUAAUGGCCCACCAAGCCAAAGAUGGGUACCGGGCGUGAGAGCGUGGCCCGGCUCACUGGGACUGAGACACUGCCCAGAACAUCUACGGGAUGGCUGCAGUCGAG